CUGGCAUCUGGAGCGCAGCAGGUUGGCACGGAAAUCCAUCUGCUCGGCUGGGAUCUCCUUCAGGUCGUCUUCCGAUAGGGUCUUUGUACUCACCUUCUUCCCCAGGAGGUCUCGGAAGUCCAGCUGCUCCACCUCCUGCUGGCGGAUCGCCUCCUCAGUGUGCUGCCUCGUCUCCACGCGCCUCUUCAGCACCCCUCGCACGUCCUCGCCGUCUUCCUCCUCUAGCCAACCCUGCCCUCUUGCUGGCCAGCCAGGCCUCAGGGACCCAUAGCGGUCACUACCACCACCAUCAGCACCAACUCCUCCACCACAGAGGUCCUCGCAGCUGGCAGGCUCCCUC
rnacentral:lncRNA from 10 species